rnacentral:snRNA from 14 species
AGCUUUGCGCAGCGGCAGUAUCAUAGCCAAUGAGGUUUAUCCGAGGCACAAUUAUUGCUAACUGAAAACUUUUCCCAAAGUAUUUGAACCUUCUGAGAGUUUAGAGACCCUAUCUGAAAACAAAGCUUGCCAGUUUAUCUUGAUUUUAACUUAAUGACACUACUUUAAAGAA